CAACCCUUAAGCCUAGCUUAGCGUUGGGAGACUGCACUAAACCGCAGCUCCUCAAAACCAGUGGCGGAGUCUGUUCGUACUCUGAGCGCAGUAAUUUAUUAUCUCGCUUCUGCAAGUACGGCUGACGACAGCCAUAAACCGCACCCUUCGGGGGCACUUUUUAAU
rnacentral:misc_RNA from 1 species